rnacentral:misc_RNA from 1 species
UUUUUGGAAAACUUGUCGCAGCCAAAGUGAGCCGGGCGAAAUUUAACUUUCACGUUCGUCGUAAUAAAUGCAUUCAUUAGUGUACUCGAGAUGAUUAGACGAAGUAGGAACAAGUGGAGCGUCGAUACGAAAUUCACGAAAGGAAAUAAUAGCGUGGCGUUUCUGUAGUUUCGUUUCGAACUGGCGGCAUUUCCCAGCGGCGGGAAACUACUCAUCGCGAAAUUGCUCCUUGAGGACGAAGUCGUCUGUGAAACUAUAGUAAAAUUGAACUGUCAUAACCACGCUCUGCUUGACCAACAUUUGCUCACAAACGUAUUUCCAACGCUUGUACGGAUCUUCCACGAAUAAACGAUUUCCCGACUUUUUCGUUAUUCGGUAGCUAGAAGAAAGUAUCGAUCGAGAUAUAAGUUCAUUCACUUUUCACUAACGUCUACAUCUAAAGGAAUAUUCUAAAAAUUGUUUGAGAAUAUAAAAAUACAUGUAAAUAAUAUUUUUCAUGAAAGAUAUAAUAGAGG